CAGCCGCCGCGGUAAUACCGGCGGCCCGAGUGGCGGUCACUAUUAUUGGGCUUAAAGCGUCCGUAGCCGGGUUGGGAAGUCCUCCGGGAAAUCUGGCCGCUUAACGGUCAGAAUGCCGGAGGAUACUCCCAGCCUAGGGAGCGGGAGAGGCCGAGGGGAUUCCCGGGGUAGGGGUGAAAUCCUAUAAUCCCGGGAGGACCACCUGUGGCGAAGGCGCUCGGCUGGAACGCGUCCGACGGUGAGGGACGAAGGCCAGGGGAGCAAACCGGAUUAGAUACCCGGGUAGUCCUGGCGGUAAACGAUGCGGACUUUGUGUCGGACAAGCUAUGAGCUUGUCCGGUGCCGGAGGGAAACCGUUAAGUCCGCCGCCUGGGGAGUACGGCCGCAAGGCUGAAACUUAAAGGAAUUGGCGGG
rnacentral:rRNA from 1 species